rnacentral:rRNA from 1 species
UACAGAGGUCCCAAGCGUUGUUCGGAUUCACUGGGCGUAAAGGGUGCGUAGGUGGCUGGGUAAGUUUGAUGUGAAAUCUCCGGGCUUAACCCGGAAAUGGCAUUGAAUACUAUUCGGCUAGAGGUUUGGAGGGGGGACUGGAAUUCUCGGUGUAGCAGUGAAAUGCGUAGAUAUCGAGAGGAACACCAGUGGCGAAGGCGAGUCCCUGGACAACACCUGACACUGAGGCACGAAAGCUAGGGGAGCAAACAGG